AAAACACAUUGAUAAUACAUUGAUGGACAAAAUCAGUAAUGAGUAGAGCCACCAAAAACAGGGACAAACAAAAAAUAGGUGAAAAUCUAUUUUUUU